rnacentral:misc_RNA from 1 species
GAUGAAGAACGCAGCGAAAUGCGAUAAGUAGUGUGAAUUGCAGAAUUCAGUGAAUCAUCGAAUCUUUGAACGCACAUUGCGCCCCUUGGUAUCCCGAGGGGCAUGCCUGUUCGAGCGUCAUUUCACCACUCAAGCCUGGCUUGGUGUUGGGCGACGUCCCCUUUAGGGACGCGCCUCGAAACGCUCGGCGGCGUGGCACCGGCUUUAAGCGUAGCAGAAUCUUUCGCUUUGGAAGUCGGGGCCCCGUCUGCCGGAAGACCUACUCGCAAGGUUGACCUCGGAUCAGGCAGGGAUACCCGCUGAACUUAAGCAUAUCAAUAAGCGGAGGA